rnacentral:rRNA from 1 species
GUUGAACGCUGGCGGCGUGCCUAAUACAUGCAAGUCGAGCGAACAGACGAGGAGCUUGCUCCUCUGACGUUAGCGGCGGACGGGUGAGUAACACGUGGAUAACCUACCUAUAAGACUGGGAUAACUUCGGGAAACCGGAGGUAAUACCGGAUAAUAUAUUGAACCGCAUGGUUCAAUAGUGAAAGACGGUUUUGCUGUCACUUAUAGAUGGAUCCGCGCCGCAUUAGCUAGUUGGUAAGGUAACGGCUUACCAAGGCAACGAUGCGUAGCCGACCUGAGAGGGUGAUCGGCCACACUGGAACUGAGACACGGUCCAGACUCCUACGGGAGGCAGCAGUAGGGAAUCUUCCGCAAUGGGCGAAAGCCUGACGGAGCAACGCCGCGUGAGUGAUGAAGGUCUUCGGAUCGUAAAACUCUGUUAUUAGGGAAGAACAAAUGUGUAAGUAACUAUGCACGUCUUGACGGUACCUAAUCAGAAAGCCACGGCUAACUACGUG